rnacentral:rRNA from 1 species
AUUGAACGCUGGCGGCAGGCUUAACACAUGCAAGUCGAGCGAGCGGCGGACGGGUGAGUAAUGUCUGGGAAACUGCCUGAUGGCGGGGGAUAACUACUGGAAACGGUAGCUAAUACCGCAUACCAUCAUAUUUUCCCAUUUUGGAUUAGCUAGUUGGUGGGAUAAUGGCUCACCUAGGCGACGAUCCCUAGCUGUGCUGAGAGGAUGACCAGCCACACUGGAACUGAGACACGGUCCAGACUCCUACGGGAGGCAGCAGUGGGGAAGAUUGGACAAGGGGCGCAAGCCUGAUGCAGCCAUGCCGCGUGUGUGAAGAAGGCCUUCGGGUUGUAAAGCACUUUCUGCGAGGAGGCGUUACUCGCAGAAGAAGCACCGGCUAACUCCGGGCCAGCAGCCGCGGUAAUAC